rnacentral:tRNA from 1 species
UAUUCGGAGGUUCGAAUCCUUCCGUCCCAG